AAUGUACGGCUGAAGUUAAUAUGCAUAAGGGUUUUUUUAUGCACAGUACAUAAGUCAAUUUUAGCCACUUGAUCAUGGAAUUGUUUUGCCACAUGUUACGAUCUGAAUGCGUGACACUGUGAGCCUUGUCACACACGAUCACAGAGCUUAUUCAUCGUCUUCGCCGUUUCAAAGAAAUCGCUCGUCUACGCCGUCGCCGUUUCAAACCUUCUUCUCCAUCGUCUUCGCCGUUUCAAAGCUCCUUCUUCGUCGUCUUCUCCGUUAUGCCCAUCGUCCGUUCAUUGUAGUACUAGAGUAAGCUUAUUCUCCGUCGCCGUUUCAAAGAUUCUUCUCCAUCGUCUUCUCCAUUCUCUCUAUCGUCUGUUCAUUGUAGUACUAGAGUGUUUUGUAUAUCCCCUACCAUACAUAGCUAGCUAGUUGUAUAAGUUGCUGGGAUUAAUCAGGGAUCAAGCUGCGGCAAUCAUACUUUGCUGGAGGUUUGGACUCAGAAACAUUGUGUGCAUUUGAAGAGAUAAGGCAACGUGUACCGGGACACCUGGUAGGGUCGCGAGAACUUUUGGCUUGCAUAGCAUCCUCAUGAGAUGUCACUGGUUUUUAAUACUGCUGCUAAUGGUGACAAAAAGUUGGCUACUAAACAUUCAUUAUUCAUUAAAUAAUAUCUUCUUCAAUGCUUACUAUGAAGUAUGAACCACUCAAUCAGAACAGUGAGAAGAUUUUGUGAAGAAAGUACACUCCAAUCAAUAUUUAUAUAAGUCAGCUAUGAAAUUGUUACAACCUGUCUCACAAUCUAGGAAUAGGAUCUUCAUUUAAUUUCAAUAGUGAACUUUUUGAGAUAGUUGACUCUAAUGUUGUAACAAGCUUUGCCUUGUGUAGAUGCAUAUAUAUGUAUUUAACAUUUACAAAGGUACAUUUAAUUCACAAAGGAAAAUAUCAUUACUAUCAUUCUAGUUACUAGUAACACUGGUGGAAUUGUGGUUCUAUAUUUCAUAGAAACAUGCUUGAUCUGAUUUAGUACAUCUUUUUUCAUUCCAAUUUGAUGGCUGCCCAAUGGAAAGAAGUAGGACAUAACAAUGUGUCAGUUGUUUGGAUAAUUUGUUUUAAAAUUCAUAUUUAAUACACAUUUUGAUGUUUGGUUGUGCUACAUUGUGAUUUAUUAUGUUAGAAGUGUUAUAGUUUCCUUUUGACCAUUUUUUUUUACGCGCUUUUAUUGCACUGAGUGCAGCUUUACCACUGAAUUUGAUGCUUUUAUAUUUGGUUUAUCUCAUGUUAUUCUUUACUGAAAUCUCCAGGUUCUAAGAAUUUCAGGGUUGCAAGCAGAGGUUGAUGCCAUCGUCUCAUUCCCUUAUGUGGAGCAAAGAUUGUUUUCACUCUACAAAUGUCAAGAUUAAGCUUGCAUUUGUAUGUCUAUUUGAGCUUUAAAAUCAAACUUGUAAAGGAUGUGAGACAUGGUUGUGUAUUUUUGGAUAAUUCAUUAUCUUUGAUUGGUAAAUUGAUAAUAUAAUAACAUUUUUAUAUUUGGUC